rnacentral:lncRNA from 1 species
CCGGAACACGGUCUCUUGUACCGGUACAAGGACCAAAAUGUGAAAAAAAAAAUUUCAAAAAAUAUCCUUUAAAAACCCAUCAAAUUUAAAUUAAAUCCAUAUAAUUAAGGCUUUUACUCCAAAAAUUAUUAUAAUGAAAAUAAGAUAUUAUAAAAUUUCAAAACACAUCGAAACAUCAAAAUUUCAAAAUCAAAAAUAAUUUAAUGAUUCAAAACCAUCAAGAUGUAAGUUGAUGAAAAAUGAUUUUUAGAAAUUCAACAAAAUUGACACCAAUUUGUCGCAACACAUUCAAAAUAGAGAUUUAACUAAUAUGGUACCGGGGGUGGCUC